UACGUAGGGUGCGAGCGUUAAUCGGAAUUACUGGGCGUAAAGCGUGCGCAGGCGGUUUUGUAAGCCAGAUGUGAAAUCCCCGGGCUUAACCUGGGAAUGGCAUUUGGGACUGCAAGGCUUGAGUUUGGCAGAGGAGACUGGAAUUCCUGGUGUAGCAGUGAAAUGCGUAGAUAUCAGGAGGAAUACCGAUGGCGAAGGCGGGACUCUGGGCCGAUACUGACGCUGAGGAGCGAAAGCGUGGGGAGCAAACAGG
rnacentral:rRNA from 1 species